AAGUUAAAAGCAAGCAAUUUCUAAUUACCAAUUCCUGUUAACAAAUUGAACUACUUGUGAAAAUAAACUAUUGUUUGUUGAAACUAAACUAAACCAGAGCAAUAGUUAGCUGCUAACCACAAUCCAGGCAAUAUUUCUAAAAAAACAAACAGUCCUGAAUAUUUCGAAUUAACAAACAACACUAGAUUUCUAGUGGAUAGACUAUUUUAUACAUCAAAAUUAAAACAACAAUGAAAUAUAUUCAGAGAACAACUCCAAUAGCCUUUUACUUCAUUUCCAUAAGCUUGAGAUCUACAAGUGUGUACCUGGUAGAGGAAUUUAAUAGAAGAAGAAGAAGGUCAGCCUCAGCAGGUAGCAAAUCAACAGGUAACAACCAGCCACAAUAAGAGUGAUUUUCGAAUCAAAACCUAGUUUCAAAGCCCUAGGAAUGAACUCAAAAGUUCAAUUGAAAUUUCAGCACUCAACCACAACCCACAUGAACUCGAAAUAAUAGACCAAAACAAACCUCGAACCUCAGCACCCAAAACAAAAACAAAAUGAACUCGAAUUCAAAUGCAAACAGCUUCUAAUUCUCAGCUACCCUUUGUUGAAUCAAAGGAUCGAAUUACACUACUCAAACUUGAAAUUAAGCUAAAAUGACCAAUAGAACAGUGACUUUGUUUUGGUUUUCUAUUGUUUUUGAUUUUUUUGUUUUCCUUUUGUAGAAUGCUAAGAUCUAAGGGAUUUCAGAUAUGAAAAUGUUAAUUCAGAUCUUGAAUAUUGGGGAAUACUUUAUGCAAAAAAGUUUAGGCUACCAAACUUGAUGGCUAAGGCAUUAUUCAUAUCUUUUUAUUGGCCAAAAGAGGGCAGUCCCUUAAAACUCUUAUUUACCCUAUUAGUCCUUCUUUUUUAUUGAGUUAGUUCCUUAGUUAUUAACUUGUUACCCAAGCUAGUAUCCUAAAUUUUCUAAAAUCUAACUUGAACCCCAUUCUAGAAGAUUCUAAGGUGUUCUAUUCCAAUCUACAUCAUUCCAUCCUAUUACUAAAGCCUAAAAUACCCCUGAGCUUAAUACUAAAUUGCAGCUAUAACCAAACAAUACCUAAACUCUGAAUUUACCAACUACUGAAGAAAACUCCUGUUAACCCACCAACUGAAUCACAUUAACACUACCUUAUGGAAUCGUGAAUUAACUACUCUAUAUUGUUAAACCAAAUUGAAAAGAAAACAAACACAAGCUCAUCUCAACAAAAUUAAUAGCCAAAAGGAAAACGACCAAAAUUAUUAGACAGGAAAAAAUGGAAUCAACCAUAAAUAAAGCUAAAAAUGGGUGCCUAUGAUUGAAAUCCAAUUACUAUCUACAUGGCCAAGGAAUUCGGUCAAAAGGGAGCGACGGAGGGGGACAUAAUUUGACUAUUGAACAGAAAUAAGAAGAAGAUUGAAAUGAGACAAAUUGACAGAAGAAAUGAAAUAAACAAAAGAGAGAGAGAGACUCAUCAGCUUGACUCGAAUAUCCACCUCGAAUUUCUGCUACAAAACCCAACUUGAUGACAGUCAUCCAUUCCCCGUCAAGAAAACGUGCAAACGAUGUGCCCGGACAUGUAAAAGACCUCAUAAGAACGACUUCACUCAGACCUCCGAUUCUUUUGAUUUCGAGCCGCAAUUGGUAUUUAUCACAGGUUCUUGUCAAGAACCAAUAUGAAACAACAAUUACUGCUCUUAACCAGUCAUUGAAGCUUGCAAAUUUGGGAAACUUUGUCUACUGUUUCCAAUUUUGUUUCGAAGAAAAGGAGUGGUUCUUAAAAAAAAAACAAAUCAUGUAUAUGGAAUGGGGACAUGAAGAUGGUUGUUUGGUCAAGUUUUCAAGCAGUUUGGAGGUAGAUCGUCGCCGCAUGGCGACUUCCGGUAGUGGUGACAGGCGGUGAGGAAUGAGAAACGAAGGUGAUGAUAGUCUUAGGUUCUUCAGACAAUUGUAAUAAGAUAGUGAAUGUGAUUGGGGCCCUUGGAUGAGAAAGAAUGGAGGGACAAGAUUAAAAGAUCACUUACUAAACCCAAAACGAAGUCAUUUUUGCUAGUAAGACUUGGACUGGGUUGAAGAUAAAGAAUCUGGGCUGGCCGGCGGAUCAAUGGCCCAACUUUGGCCCUUUUAUAAGACUACUUCUUUUAACUUUGUUUUUUUCUUCUUCUUUUUUUUUUCUUUUAAUUCUUUUCUUUUUAUACAAUUUGUUUUUCGUAUUUUUCUGAUUUUA
rnacentral:lncRNA from 1 species